rnacentral:lncRNA from 1 species
UGGCGUCUGGCGAGUGCGCUGUGCCUGUGCGCGGCUGUUCCUCAGUUCCUGGCGUAUGGCCACAGGCCACCGGCGUCUUGCAAGGCUGCAACAGCAUCUUGGCAUAUCGCUCGCCUGGACGCCUGCUCGGUCGGCUCCAGAGCCUUCGGUCCUGCAAAGGCUGCAAGUCUGCGACACAUCUUGCUCGGUCUUAAGACUUCAAGCAACCACAUCUUGCAACGGCAUCCUGCAAGGCUUGCAUGCAACGCCUACUGCCUGCGCUCACUAACGCUCGCGUGGAGGUGCCCUUCCCAGGGUACAGGUACGCAGGAACAUCGCCCCUCUCGGUUGAUUCACUGGUGACUAAAAUAUGAAAAAGCAGUGAGAUAUUGUCUCUUUUUUUCAAUCAUGCUGCAAAGAAACAUAAGUUUAUUGUGUCGACACCUAAAAAACAAGAGGAAGAGAGGAUAAAUGAAGAAAUUGUGAAUCCAAUGCCAUCUGCACUACCACCGCCAACACUUUAUGAUGUCAGUCGUCUUCCACAUGAUCCAAGUGAAAGACAACAUAUUGCAAGCUACCAUGCUAAUGACCAUGAUGCAAUUCGAAGAACAUAUAUUAUUAUUAUUAGAGGUCCAUUUCAACCACAUGCACAUGAAUUUCCAAAUAGGAAAAUUGGAGAUAGAGAUCACCAUUUUAAUUUUGUUGCGGCACACCCUAUAUAAAAAUCCUAGGUCCGCCACUGGGAACAGGUAUGAGACUAAUUUAGUCCCGUGGGGAUCUAAAUAGGGGAAAUUUAAUCCCCAUCGGAUUUGCGGGGACGGGGACGGGGAACCAUUCUCGUCCCCGUUCCCCGUGUACCUGCCCCACGAAACUUUUUAUCCAAGUUAGUCAAUUUAAUUGUUAAAAUUAUAGUAAAAACUCAAUGCAUGUCAUGUUAUAAAAUAGCAAACUAAACUUUAAAGUAGAUGUCCCUUGUAAUUUUCAAUCUUGUUUGUUAAAUUUGUAUUAAUUUGAUACAAUCAAUUUAAAUUUAUCUUUAAAUAUUGACUUCCAGCGGGGAUAGAUUCCCUGCGGGAUUCUCCAUGGGGAUAAAUUCUCUAACGGGAACGGGAUGGGAGAAAAAGCUCCUUGUAAACAUUCACGGGGACAGGAGCGGGGAAUUGUCCUUUCUAUAGAGACGGGGAUGGAGAGUCAUUCUUCGUCAGAAAUCCCGGUUGCCAUUCCUAAUAUAAUCAAGAUCUCGGGACUUUCUUGAUGGUAAUAAAAGGAACUCAAAAACGAACGAACUGUCAAGAACUACUUUUUUUCCACAGUGUCCUGCUGUCGAAGAUAAUAAUAAACAAAGGGCCGGGAGAUGCAUGCAUGCAGAUGUGCAUGUGUGUGGCCGGCGUUAUCCUGAUGGGUGGGUGUGCAUGUGCAUCGGAUUUGUGAUAACAGUGUAGAGAUGUGGCGUGACCACUGGAGCAACGAAUGAACGAGCUGAGCGAGAGCGAGCUAGUCGGUCGAUGUGGUUCGUGCUAGUGAUUGCAUGCGUGAGGUGACACCACUUCGCUAGCUAGCUUUGGCCAACACAACAGCAUAGCAUAGCAUGCGUCAAGUAAGUUACUUAGACAUUUUUCAACAGUUAGUUAGUUUAAAGAAUAUAAUAGAAUAUAUGACUUUAUAGGUGAGAGCACGUCAAGUAGACAAGCAACUUCAUAGUCAAAUGGAAUAACGAGUGAGAAUGUGUGUGCCGCCGAAAGCUAUACUUUUGAUCCAUAUACCCUCUCGAGUCUCAUCUCUUAGCUAGCUUGUCACCAACUUGGCCGCUGCCGCCUGCUUCAUAGUCAUGGAGAACGCCAGUAGCGGAUCUAGCUGCUACGCUUAGAGUGUGCCAGAAAAAAGAAAAUAAAAAAUAGAGAACAACAAGACUUGAAUCUUGACUGCCAAGUUCAAAAGAUAAAUUUACACCACUAUAUUAACUAACUUUAUGUGAUUUUAGGGUGUGCGGUGGCCAAUAUAUAUGAACCAUCCACUGGGUCCGCCCCCGCCCCUAGAGAACGCCAUAGCACUAUUAUAUAGCAGCAUAUGUAUGUGGGAUCAUGCUCAUGCAUGGUGCAUGGUUUGUGGGGGUGCCCAACCAACCACAUGCAUGGCAAAAGUGGAAUCUCCUCCCAAAGAUUCAACAGGGGUGAGAAAGAAACAAGGAAAUAAAGAAAGGUGUUCGUCGUGCACCUUUAGCUAGCUAGCUUGCAUUGGGGGGGGGGGGGGGGGGGGGGGGCGCCGAGUGGCUUGGCACUACCGUUUAUCGAUCCAUAUCGCGCGCGUUGCUGCCAAUGCACACGCUGCAUAUAUGCAUGCCAACAUGCUAGCGGCCCAGGCUCGUGCACACGGCAGACUUGCGGCGGCUGCUGCUGCUGGUAGUGUGCAUGCCACUCACUGUCGUAAUCCGAUUUUUUUACCGAGUAUUUAGCGUUUUAUCGAGUGUAUUUUAUCGGACGCUCGACGAAAUAAGACUCCCGCUAAAAGUCUAUCAACAAAAGAGGUUUUGCCGAGUGUCAAACUCUUGGUGAAACGUGACGCUCGACAAAAGAGGUUUCGCCGAGGCUUUAUGCACAUGUAUAGUUGACGGUCGUUAAUUUUGUCGAGCGUCAGACGUUGACACUCGAUGAAAUAGCUUUUUUUGCCGCGUUCUAUUUUGUUUAAGGGUCACUACAAUGAUCAUUCUGCAGGUUCACCUACGGAAACCUUGUUACCACUUC